CUUCGACCCGUCUCCACAGUCUUCGGCUUGCCCUACCUGAUUCCACUUGUCGUCAGGUAGGUUUCUCUCCAAUUAAAUUAGUCUUCUGAAAUUGUUCACGUCUCACUGCCUCCGCUCGCCGUCAUCUCCUCCGGAUCCCUUUUCCAAUAAAUUUGGAUGCAUGAAGAUGAAUUCAACCGUCGAAACGUUCCAACGUCCGACCGUUCGGUGGCCCGAACCUGUGAAUCUCAACACCAUUUUGGCUUCAGCUCUCUACUUCAGCGAACUUGUGAAUAUCGACACCAUUUUGGCUUCAAAUUUAGGUAA